rnacentral:rRNA from 1 species
CCUACGGGUGGCAGCAGUGAGGAAUAUUGGUCCAUGGACGGAAGUCUGAACCAGCGAUGCCGCGUGCAGGAAGACGGCUCUAUGAAUUGUAAACUGCAUUUGUAAAAGGGUAAACCUGAAUACGUGUAUUCAGAUGAAAGUACUGUAAGAAUAAGGAUCGGCCAACCCAGUGCCAGCAGCCGCGGUAAUACGGAGGAUCCACUCGUUAUCCGGAUUUAUUGGGUUUAAAGGGUGCGUUGGCGGAUUGAUAAGUGAGAGGUGAAAUGUCCGAGCUUAACUCGGGAACUGCCUCUAAUACUGUUGAUCUAGAGAGUAGAUGCGGUAGGCGGAAUGUAUGGUGUAGCGGUGAAAUGCUUAGAGAUCAGACAGAACACCGAUUGCGAAGGCAGCUUACCAAUCUAUAUCUGACGUUGAGGCACGAAAGCGUGGGGAGCAAACAGGAUUAGAUACCCUGGUAGUC